rnacentral:lncRNA from 1 species
AACUUCAAGCAUGUUGGGCUCUCCAGGAGGGAGAAGAGGCACCUUUGCCGUGGGUUGAGGACUCCUAGAACCAACCUGAGACUCCGCGGCCAUAUACACCUUACGACGUGUGUGUGUGUGGCGGGAGAUGGGAGGGGAGGAAUCCUGUAGAACCCAGAUCCCAUCAUUCCAGCAACUGCCAGAGCGUUCGAGAAUGUCAUGUCUGUACCUGUCUUCUCUCAUCUUUUGUGCCAACUGUUUUAUCAAACUUCUACCCCACUUUAGGUCUUCCAGAGUACAACACAAAUAUACUGCCCAGGUUCUAAAACAUGUAUAAGAGUUAACAAAAUCAGCUGAGGUUGAGCAGAAAUUGUAUAGGAAAAAAUAGGAAAAACACAGAGACCAAUCUCAGCUGCAAGAAGGUUCAGCUAGACACUGCAAGCAAAAGUAUAACUCCUGAAGGUCACUUUGAGAAGAUGAGGUAUCAACAGCCACUACUAUUAGGCAAGGUACAAGUAUCACAACACUAGUGCCAUCUGAGAAUCCAUGUCAACCCUUAGCUAAGGAAGUAGCUCCCAACCUGGAGAUCUCUGGGUCCUUGAGGACUCUUAAAGUAGUUAUGGAGCUCAUUGAACUAUUUUCAACAUUUCAAAAAGAUAUCACGUAGCAAUUGUACAUCCAUCCUUAAUAAAACUGCACAAGCAAACUGAAA